UACGUAGGGUCCGAGCGUUUGUCCGGAAUUACUGGGCGUAAAGAGCUCGUAGGUGGUUUGUCGCGUUGUUCGUGAAAACUCACAGCUUAACUGUGGGCGUGCGGGCGAUACGGGCAGACUUGAGUACUGCAGGGGAGACUGGAAUUCCUGGUGUAGCGGUGGAAAUGCGCAGAUAUCAGGAGGAACACCGGUGGCGAAGGCGGGUCUCUGGGCCAGUAACUGACGCUGAGGAGCGAAAGCGUGGGGAGCGAAACAGG
rnacentral:rRNA from 1 species